GGGAAAGGUGGUACGGACCUAACUCUCUCCGGCCUCUUACUGUGUAAUAUAGGGGAGGGAGGGGGUUCCUUGAGCCAGUGCCCUGCUGGGUUAGAGAGGUUCUACUCUCAAUCGGGUGUUCCUAUACCAAUUUGCAGAACUGUCCGGGUCCCAAUCUCAGGGUAUUUUUGAAAUUCCAAAAGAGCCAGUCUAGAUCUGAUGGCCGCACCGGUCCGACUGGGCCGGAAGCGCCCGCUACCGGUUUGCCCCAACCCACUCUUCGUUCGUUGGCUGACUGAGUGGCGGGAUGAGGCAGCCAGCAGAGGGCGCCACACGCGCUUUGUGUUUCAAAAGGCCCUGCGCUCCCUCCGACGGUACCCGCUACCUCUGCGCAGCGGGAAGGAAGCCAAGAUCCUUCAGCAUUUCGGAGACAGGCUCUGCCGGAUGCUGGACGAGCGGCUGAAGCAGCACCUAGCAUCAGGCGGUGACCAUGCCCCCAGCCUACCACCUGGAGAGAAAAAUCAAGCCAAUGAAGAGCCACCUGCUCAAGGCCAGGACUCUCCUGUGCCAGUUCCCACCCAGCCUCAAGCAGGAAGUGCUGGAGGCUAUUGGCCAGCACCGAACUCUGGUGCCCGUGCCAUCCUGCUGCAGCUCUACCAGGAGCACCUGAAUUCUGAUGGUCACAGCUUCCUGACCAAGGAGGAGCUGCUGCAGAAAUGUGCCCGGAAAGCCCCCAGGGUAGUUCCUGGAAGUUCGAAACCCUGGCCUGCCCUCCGAGGCCUCCUCCACAGGAACUUGGUCCUCAGGACGCAUCGGCCAUCCAGGUAUGCACUGACCCCAGAGGGCCUGGAGCUGGCCCAAAGGCUGGCCAAGGCAGAAGGCCUGAGCACGCUGAACACUGGCAUUAUGCCAGAGGAGCCCCAGGAAGAGGAGUCAGCAGCCCCAGCGGCCACUUUGUCAGCACUUGGCGCCAGUGAAGGUGGCAUCCAGCAGCCGCCGCUGGAGCUGAGGCCUGGCGAGUACAGAGUGCUGUUGUGUGUGGACACUGGGGAAACCAGAGGGGCGGGACACAGGCCAGAAAUGCUCCGAGAGUUACAGCGGCUGCAUGUGCCUCACACAGUACGCAAGCUGCAUGUUGGGGACUUUGUGUGGAUAGCACAGGAGACCAGGCCCAGAGACCCAGCGAGACCUGAGGAGUUAGUCUUGGACCACAUUGUGGAACGCAAGCGGCUAGAUGACCUGUGCAGCAGCAUCAUCGACGGCCGCUUUCGAGAGCAGAAGUUCCGCCUGAAGCGCUGUGGCCUGGGGCACCGGGUAUACUUGGUGGAGGAACAUGGGUCUGUCCACAACCUCAGCCUUCCUGAGAGUACAUUGCUACAGGCUGUCACAAACACCCAGGUCAUUGAUGGCUUCUUUGUGAAGCGCACGAUGGAUAUUAAGGAAUCAGCUGGCUACCUGGCCCUUCUGACAAAGGGCCUAGAAAGACUGUAUCAGGGCCACGCCCUACGUAGCCGCCCCUGGGAAGCCCCAGGGGGUGCUGAAUCAGGAGCAAGGCCUUCCACAGACCCUCUCUGCUCUCUCCUCACUUUCAAUGACUUCAAUGCAGAAGCUGUCAAGAACAAGGCCCAGUCUGUACGAGAAGUAUUUGCCCGGCAGCUGAUGCAGGUGCGUGGACUAAGUGGAGAGAAGGCAGCAGCCUUGGUGGAUCGAUACAGCACACCAGCCAGGUACACCCCAGAGAGCCACUGGGUUCCUCUGCCCUUCCUGUGUGGAGUUCAACUUAAGCGUGCUUCUGGAGAGAGAGCCUGGCUCUGUGUGGGAGCCUUGGAAGGUUCUGUCCCAGUGCUUCCCAGGAAGGGAGGGCAGAUGGGAUGGAGGAGGGUCUCUGUCACCAGGAUCAGGAAAUAUGCAGUGUCCAGACUCCUCUACUCUAGGCUGAACCCUCCUGCCUUAGCUCUCAUGAUGCUGGCCCACAUAAUCAGCCACUGCAUGUCCCACCCCCAGUCUCCUGGCUGCCUAUGAUGCCUGUGCCACCCCUAAGGAGCAGGAGAUGCUGUUGAGCACUAUCAAGUGCGGGCGUCUGCAGAGAAAUCUGGGACCUGCUCUGAGCAGGACCCUGUACCAGCUAUACUGCAGCCACAGCCCUCUGACCUGAGCUCCACCUGGAGACACAUCCCAGAGCCACCUUCACUUCUACAAAGGCUAGCUAGCCCUUUAACUAGGAUUCUUUGGGCUAUAGUCAAAAUCUGAACAUUUGUGGUCUUAGGAGUUAAGGAAGCAAUGCCAAGGUCCUUAUGAAAUGUGCAGGAACGGGGAGACUACACCUUGUGAUCCAGUGGCUUUUGUUUUGUAGUGUUGGUGGUGGAACCCAUAGCCUUGUGCAUGCUAGGCAAUUCCUCUUCCACACAGCAAUGAUCUGCGGCCUUGUACAGUGUUUCUCUACCCACUCCUAAAACCCAGCUUGGCCUAGAACAUGCUUUGUAACCCAGGCUGGCCUAGAAUUCCCAGUCUUCCUAGGCCCACCUUCCUAGUUCUGGAAUUAAAGGUGUGGAACACUA